CAAAGACUCUCGGCAACGGAUAUCUCGGCUCUUGCAUCGAUGAAGAACGUAGCGAAAUGCGAUACUUGGUGUGAAUUGCAGAAUCCCGUGAACCAUCGAGUCUUUGAACGCAAGUUGCGCCCGAAGCCAUUAGGCCGAGGGCACGCCUGCCUGGGUGUUGCAC
rnacentral:rRNA from 1 species